rnacentral:rRNA from 1 species
UACGAAGGGAGCGAGCGUUGUUCGGAAUCACUGGGCUUAAAGCGUGCGUAGGUGGAUUGGUAAGUAAGGAGUGAAAUCCCAGGGCUUAACCCUGGAACUGCUCUUUAGACUGCCUGUCUGGAAUUCGGAAGAGGUUGGUGGAACUCCCAGUGUAGAGGUGAAAUCGCAGAUAUUGGGAAGAACACCGGUGGCGAAGGCGACCAACUGGUCCGACAUUGACACUGAGGCACGAAAGCGUGGGUAGCAAACAGG